rnacentral:lncRNA from 1 species
GCACCUUAAAUUUGACAGGAGUUAUGACCUUAGGCGCCGACACCUCUGACUUUGCUAGCUUAGAAAUCUCAUGCUCUUGUAUUGUGCGUUUCGAAGCAAUGCCUGACAAAAAUCUCACUUGCCCAGCUGAUUUUUUUUCUUUGGCUCGUAUGGUGAAAUCAACUUGGGUAUCAAAAAUACUUUCUUCUUUGGCACCUUUGGUGGCUCACUUCUUGGUUAUGG